GACUUCUCAGGGUCAUACCCGGAGAGUGUCCAGUAUUCUACCAGUCUUGACUAUGGGAGGGAGAGUUAAACAGAGGCAUAUCCAUUCCAUUCCUAGCUUGGGCAGUGGCUAGUGAGUGAAAGGUAAUCUGCUACAAGU